GUGAAAUUGUUGAAAGGGAAGCGCUUGCAACCAGACCUGCCUGCAGUUGCUCAUCCGUGGCUUUUGCCCGGUGCACUCUUCUGCUGUCAGGCCAGCAUCAGUUCGGGCGGUCGGAUAAAGGCUUCGGGAAUGUAGCUCCUCUCGGGGAGUGUUAUAGCCCGUUGCGAAAUGCGGCCAGCCUGGACUGAGGUCCGCGCUUCGGCUAGGAUGCUGGCGUAAUGGUUGUAAGCGGCCCGUCUUGAAACACGGACCAAGGAGUCUAACAUCUGUGCGAGUGUUUGGGUGUUAAACCCGUACGCGUAAUGAAAGUGAACGGAGGCGGGAACCCCUCGGGGUGCACCGUCGACCGAUCCUGAUGUCUUCGGAUGGAUUUGAGUAAGAGCAUAGCUGUUGGGACCCGAAAGAUGGUGAACUAUGCCUGAAUAGGGUGAAGCCAGAGGAAACUCUGGUGGAGGCUCGCAGCGGUUCUGACGUGCAAAUCGAUCGUCAAAUUUGGGCAUAGGGGCGAAAGACUAAUCGAACUAUCUAGUAGCUGGUUCCUGCCGAAGUUUCCCUCAGGAUAGCAGUAACGUUUUCAGUUUUAUGAGGUAAAGCGAAUGAUUAGAGGCCUGGGGGUUGAAACAACCUUCACCUAUUCUCAAACUUUAAAUAUGUAAGAAGUCCUUGUUGCUCAGUUGAACGUGGACAUUUGAAUGUAUCGUUACUAGUGGGCCAUUUUUGGUAAGCAGAACUGGCGAUGCGG
rnacentral:rRNA from 1 species